UACGUAGGUCCCGAGCGUUGUCCGGAUUUAUUGGGCGUAAAGCGAGCGCAGGUGGUUUAUUAAGUCUGGUGUAAAAGGCAGUGGCUCAACCAUUGUAUGCAUUGGAAACUGGUAGACUUGAGUGCAGGAGAGGAGAGUGGAAUUGCAUGUGUAGCGGUGAAAUGCGUAGAUAUAUGGAGGAACACCGGUGGCGAAAGCGGCUCUCUGGCCUGUAACUGACACUGAGGCUCGGAAGCGUGGGGAGCAAACAGG
rnacentral:rRNA from 1 species